UAUUCGAACUAAAUUAAUCCCAAUAAUAAGCCUGGAAGUGGAAACCCAACAAUCCACGCCUCCACAAGGCAUAACUCCUCCGCCUUCUAACUUACCCAUUAAUUCUUCCUCCAGGUCUACAACUCCUGCCCCCUUUCACGGCGACCCGUCGACCCUCCUUCCGCUACACCCAAUCACACUACCCCACUUUCACCCACACCUCCGCCUCCAACAAAAUGCUCGUCGUGAUCGGCAAGUCCAGGAACAUUCAGCUCUUAUAGGACACCCUCCAUGAGAUGGGUCAUCGUCGUUUGGUAAAUUGCAAGAUAUUUGUUAUUGUUCUGGGAUGCUGGACAAGCCCUGGGAGUUGAGAAGGUCGAAGCUCAUCGUUUAGCCAAUUUUUGGUUUUUAAGCUGAAGGAAUCGAUUCGGCCCUAUAGGUUUACUUACAAGUGUUUGAUUCAAGGUUUCUGCAAUGUGGGUGAUUUGAUUGAGGCUUCAAAGAUUUGGAAUUUGAUGGCGGAUGCUGGGUUCUAACUGGAUAUCGAUGUCGUUGAGAAGAUGAUGAAACCAUUUUCAAGACGAAUUGAUAUGUCCGGGCUAGAACGUCAUCGCCAUGGUCCGGGCUAAGGACCAUUUAUUUAUGUUUUUGGAUCGGCCAUGCCCCGCCAACUUCGUCGACCUGUCCAGUGCGAAACCGAUUAUACCUGCCCUGACCCGCCGGUCCAAGGUCGUUUGCCUAACCCUACAUUAUACUCAAGAUGCUGAAAGAAAUAUUACAGAAACCAUUUUUUUCA